UACGAAGGGGGCUAGCGUUGUUCGGAAUUACUGGGCGUAAAGCGCGCGUAGGCGGACUGACAAGUCGGGGGUGAAAUCCCGAGGCUCAACCUCGGAACUGCCUUCGAUACUGUCAGUCUUGAGGUCGGGAGAGGUGAGUGGAACUCCGAGUGUAGAGGUGAAAUUCGUAGAUAUUCGGAAGAACACCAGUGGCGAAGGCGGGUCUCUGGGCCGAUAUUGACGCUGAGGAGCGAAAGCGUGGGGAGCGAACAGG
rnacentral:rRNA from 1 species